rnacentral:rRNA from 1 species
CCUACGGGCGGCUGCAGUGGGGAAUAUUGGACAAUGGGCGAAAGCCUGAUCCAGCCAUGCCGCGUGUGUGAAGAAGGCCUUCGGGUUGUAAAGCACUUUCAGUGGGGAAGAAAGCCUUGGGGCUAAUACCCUCGAGGAAGGACAUCACCCACAGAAGAAGCACCGGCUAACUCCGUGCCAGCAGCCGCGGUAAUACGGAGGGUGCGAGCGUUAAUCGGAAUUACUGGGCGUAAAGCGCGCGUAGGCGGUAUGAUAAGCCGGUUGUGAAAGCCCCGGGCUCAACCUGGGAACGGCAUCCGGAACUGUCAGGCUAGAGUGCAGGAGAGGAAGGUAGAAUUCCCGGUGUAGCGGUGAAAUGCGUAGAGAUCGGGAGGAAUACCAGUGGCGAAGGCGGCCUUCUGGACUGACACUGACGCUGAGGUGCGAAAGCGUGGGUAGCAAACAGGAUUAGAUACCCCUGUAGUC